rnacentral:misc_RNA from 1 species
UUUCCGUAGGUGAACCUGCGGAAGGAUCAUUCAUAAUAAGUGUUUUAUGGCACUUUUUUAAAUCCAUAUCCUCCUUGUGUGCAAUGUCAGGGUUGAUUUUUCUCUCGAGAGGAUCGGCCCCAAACAUCAACUAUAUCUCAACUCUUUGUCUGAAAAAUAUUAUGAAUAAAACAAUUCAAAAUACAACUUUCAACAACGGAUCUCUUGGCUCUC